CGUGGGAGGAGGAGGGGGCGAGCCGUGUGUUUUCGGAGUCCGCUGUGCCGCUCGGACCCAGAGGCAGAUGGUCCAGAGCGGUUCUGCAGUCUCAUUCUGAAUUGCCACUCGCUCGGGGCGGGACGUUGCCAAAAUCGACAUCUGCUCACCGCGCCUUCGAAAUAAAAAAAAAAGACGGUGCAGGAAAAAGGCAGGCGGGCUCAUCGAGGCUCAGAUGAUCGGACGAGCGUAACCUGCAGCCAUAUUAGGGUUCAGUCAGCGUCGACAAUCAGUCAUGGCUCAAACAUGGCUAUGCCCGCCCAGUUUGGGUGCAAUUUGAUCUUUACCGCGGCUCUCCGCAGCACAAAGGGACCGCGGAGAUGCGAGCUGCUGCAGCACCAGCGGCACGUUUGGGAGCGCGGCGCCGCUCGGGGCUGGACGCCAGCCAUGGGUGGCAUGCUCCCAGCAAGCCACCGCACAGCCCGGAAGACGGAGCUCUCCACCUGGUGUACAGCGGGCCCUCCGGGGGCCCCGGGCUGAGCCCCGCACAUCAGAAGCUCUGGUGGCGGGUAAAUUGGUUUGUUUACUCCAGAAGAGCGAAUACAAAUGAAAGAUAAAUUAACGAGGAAGUCUCCUGGAAUCGGCGCACUGAGACUGCCUCAUGCAUCAUAACCUUGACAUGAAAGACAAACAAAUGGCGGUUUUGUCUCCAUAUGAAACCCGAAAAUGAAAACAGGAAGGAUUCAGUAAGAUAAAGGUUUGCCGUGACCCCGGCGCUGGCUAAGCAGUUAUGGAAAAUGGAUGGAUGGAAUUCAAUUUGAUUCACCGGUUGAAUGGCAACGUAUUGCACUCUGGAGAGGUUUCUGCCAGCGUUCGGGUGUGUAAGGUGGGAGCGAGCUGUGUUUUGGAGCGGGAAGCAUGGCUGGGUUGUGUGCAGCACUGUCUGUGUAUGCAUGCCUCGGAGCAGUGAUUCCCGGCUCAAAAAAGGCAACAAGAAGGAAAAAAAUCUUCAAUAAAAUCAUCAGGGAAGCAGAUACAGUUUCAAUGUGCAGCACUCAGUGAUGAAAGGCAGUUGUCACUGAUCACGUGAUCCCUUCAUAUCUGAGAUACUGACCACUCCUGAGCUGUCACGUGCACAAGGCGAUGCCCGUUACUGCUGUUAAACGUGCUUCAGAACCAUCCUCUAUCAGUGUAUUGUGGGAACGCUUUUUAGUGACGGACUGCAGCGACCUGAAGUACCCUGAAUUACUGAUGCAGGAUGACAAAAUGAUGUGAUUUAGAUGGAAGCACCGCGAUCAGCAAUAUGAGGGAAAAAAGACAUCUACUAUAUCAUACCCAAUGAAAUCCAAUAUCACAUUAUCGUUCCCAGUGCACUUCGCCAAUGUGUACUCUGUCUCCCUCUACUGCUAAAGUGAAGAAUUGCAGACGGGAUGAAGGCGCGGAGCUCAAGACGAUGUGAAUGUUUGGCUGGUGAUCGAGACCAAAACCAGACGAUGAACUUUGAGGUAGAGAGCAGAACAAACAUUCCUACUGGAGAACCACUGAAUUUCCCAAUGAAACACAUCUAUGUUGAACCAAGAAACCCAGAACCAAUAAAACAGAUCCAAAGCUGUAUGUAUUCAAAUAA